UAAUCAUAUGGCAUUCACUUACCUCUUGACCAGAAUCAACCGGUUUCGAUCGAUGAGAAGAGCUUCCGGUUUGAGUGGAUCCAUGGAGCUAAUUGUCUGUGCCCAAUAUAGAAGGUUUCUAAACACAAUCGAUGGGACAAGAAAUGGACUAAAGGCUCUUAAGCUACUCCUCUCAUCAUCCGUUGCAGGUAACACGAGAUUAGUUAGACUCUCUUGUUACUUUACCUGUUUGAUGCUUCUUUAUCUCUAUACAUAGGUUUAAGUUUUGUAUGAGAUCUUGUCACUGCAGCAAUAGAACAAUCAAUGCAAGUUUUAUAAGGUCUUCUUUUAUAGAACAAUGGAUGCAGUUGGUCUAUGGGCCAAUCUUGUAGAAACAUCGAUGAUUCUUUUUUGUAUAUAUAUAUACAGUGGGUCUAUGGACCAAUCUUGGUUUUGAA